rnacentral:rRNA from 1 species
UACGUAGGGUGCAAGCGUUGUUCGGAAUUACUGGGCGUAAAGCGCACGCAGGCGGAUCGAUUAGUCAGGGGUGAAAUCCCGGGGCUCAACCUCGGAAUUGCCUUUGAUACUGUCGAUCUCGAGUCCGGGAGAGGUGAGUGGAAUUCCUAGUGUAGAGGUGAAAUUCGUAGAUAUUAGGAAGAACACCAGUGGCGAAAGCGGCUCACUGGCCCGGUACUGACGCUCAGGUGCGAAAGCGUGGGGAGCAAACAGG